AGGAAUAUUGGUCAAUGGACGAGAGUCUGAACCAGCCAAGUAGCGUGAAGGAUGAAGGUCCUAUGGAUUGUAAACUUCUUUUAUACGGGAAUAAAGUGCAGUAUGCAUACUGUUUUGUAUGUACCGUAUGAAUAAGGACCGGCUAAUUCCGUGCCAGCAGCCGCGGUAAUACGGAAGGUCCGGGCGUUAUCCGGAUUUAUUGGGUUUAAAGGGAGCGUAGGCCGGAGAUUAAGCGUGUUGUGAAAUGUAGACGCUCAACGUCUGCACUGCAGCGCGAACUGGUUUCCUUGAGUACGCACAAAGUGGGCGGAAUUCGUGGUGUAGCGGUGAAAUGCUUAGAUAUCACGAAGAACUCCGAUUGCGAAGGCAGCUCACUGGAGCGCAACUGACGCUGAAGCUCGAAAGUGCGGGUAUCGAACAGGAUUAGAUACCCUGGUAGUCCGCACGGUAAACGAUGGAUGCCCGCUGUUGGUCUGAACAGGUCAGCGGCCAAGCGAAAGCAUUAAGCAUCCCACCUGGGGAGUACGCCGGCAACGGUGAAACUCAAAGGAAUUGACGGGGGCCCGCACAAGCGGAGGAACAUGUGGUUUAAUUCGAUGAUACGCGAGGAACCUUACCCGGGCUUGAAUUGCAGAGGAAGGAUUUGGAGACAAUGACGCCCUUCGGGGUCUCUGUGAAGGUGCUGCAUGGUUGUCGUCAGCUCGUGCCGUGAGGUGUCGGCUUAAGUGCCAUAACGAGCGCAACCCCUCUCCUUAGUUGCCAUCAGGUCAAGCUGGGCACUCUGGGGACACUGCCACCGUAAGGUGUGAGGAAGGUGGGGAUGACGUCAAAUCAGCACGGCCCUUACGUCCGGGGCUACACACGUGUUACAAUGGCAGGUACAGAGAGACGGUCCCUUGCAAAAUGGAUCAAAUCCUCAAAGCCUGUCUCAGUUCGGACUGGGGUCUGCAACCCGACCCCACGAAGCUGGAUUCGCUAGUAAUCGCGCAUCAGCCAUGGCGCGGUGAAUACGUUCCCG
rnacentral:rRNA from 1 species